rnacentral:lncRNA from 1 species
AGCAAACCCAGUCGGUUCAUUUGUAACUGCAGAAAGCUGUUCCCUAUCUACAACAAUUAAACCAGGCUGUAUUUAAGCUCCAUUUAAGGCCUUUAUGUUCCCAGGAACUCUGGGUAUGGCUACCCUUCACCUGGAGAAGGCAAGGUACUGUGCCAAGAGUGCCUAGCAGGUAUUCGUGUGAGGCCACGGUCAUCGGGUGGAAAUCUGCAUGGGGCGGAGGUGGCUGCACCGUGUGGAAAUCCCAGCUCAGAUGGGAAGGAUGCAGAGAGCUGGGUAGGACGAACACCGAAAGGAGAGGAGAAUCUGAUGCAGUGAAAUGUCCUGGUUAUUUGAUGGCAGGAAUGAGGAAGGUGCUCUCUGAAAAGGAGAACAGUGGGUACUUUGUCGGCUACCACCACUCAAGUGAAAUCCAGGUCAUGUCGAUUUCAGACCUUUUUAUUAGUCACUGCAUUCUUUAUUUCAUGCAUGCAUUAUUUCCACUGUGUCUUUUACACUUACUGUGGUAUGUCAAAAAGCAGCAGACAGAUUUGUGUGUGUAG